rnacentral:miRNA from 1 species
GCAAAAGCAACGCGAAGCCUCCGGAGCGCAGUGGGAGCACUCCCACUGCACUUCGGAGGCUUCGCGUUGCUAUUGC